rnacentral:sRNA from 1 species
AGAAAAGUAGGUGCCCCCCCGCACAGGGGGAACGCUAAUAGACCACUAACAAAACAAGGAAAGGCCAAAGCGCUAAGAGCACUGACAACAAGCGCCGC